GACCAAGGAGUCUAACAUGUGCGCGAGUCGCUGGGAUUACUCGCUAAACCCGGAGGCGAAGUGAAAGCGGGGAGCGGCCCCUCGUGGGCCGCCGCUGGGAGGAUGUCGAGCGCAAGGCGCGUGCGACCGCACUCCCGGGGCGCUUCGGCUUCGGCCGCAUGCGCACCCCGAGCGCACACGUUGGGACCCGAAAGAUGGUGAACUAUGCCUGGUCAGGACGAAGUCAGGGGAAACCCUGAUGGAGGUCCGCAGCGAUUCUGACGUGCAAAUCGAUCGUCAGAGCUGGGUAUAGGGGCGAAAGACUAAUCGAACCAUCUA
rnacentral:rRNA from 1 species